AUUUGUUGGUGUCCAUGUGUGUGUGUUUGUAUGCUAUUAUGAUUAUUGAGACGAGAAAGGCAUGCAUUGUUGUUGUUUCUUGGCUCUCUUUCUUCGCAACCUUUUUCACCCGCCCAGACGGUUAGCGAAUGAACUCUUAUCAGUGCCAGAAAUAGCAUCGUGUCAACAACAACCAGCAGCAGCCAACAACUUGUAGGCCAAGCUCUAGGUCUUUCCAUCCACAGCACUGGACAACCGAUAAACUGGCUCGGGGAUUGAGCUUCAAACCACAGAUCAAACCGCAUGUAUUAACAACCCCAACAACUAAAAUCGUUCAUUUUACCAAGCAAAGUCCUAAACCCAAAACCAGCUGAAUUUCUAGCCUUCCACUUGUGACAGCCUACGUGACCGAACUGGAUCACUAUCGCGAGCGGAAAUGGAGUUCGGGUGUACCAGGGCGACACCUGCACAGGGGUCAGCGGGUCGCGGUUAGCGUUGGCCACGUUUCCGACGGUCCGCUCUGGCUUUGUGUGCGUUCGCUCGUCGGUCGUACGCACACCGAGACCCCGGACUGUUAUCUACCACAACAUACACCGAAACCGAACUACGACACAGACAGCUCCGUCCCAUUGUUGAUAAGCCAGCCGCGGUAACUUGCCGCGAGCACCGAUGGCGAGCACCCGGUACUAAAGCGAGCUGGUGGACGAGGACCACAUUCCUCCGGGGCCACUUGACGCCUGGGCCUGAGGGCGAGCGCUGGCUUAAACACCAAAGAGGCAGAAAAACCACCCGGCCAACAACCUGACGUCAGGCGAGUCAAGAGGGCUUUUGCUCAUCGGUACACGGUACACGAUUAGCACCUAGCAGGGUGGUGCUUUUUGCUGUUGAUUUUGCAAACAGGGAAGUGGACGAGGCCAUCGGUGUGUCGUCGGUGGUCGUCGGUACUGUUAAAUCCCUUCUCCACUUACACGUGACCACUUGCCGCGCGUUCGGGAAGGGUAUAGGGAUUGUUGCCUGCUGCACCACAAAUAAGUCAUCAAUAACGUCGUCAAUAAAUGGUGUACUUGUUAAACACGAAACGUUUUAAUUUCCUGUAUAUCAAGGAACAGGUAGGCCAUUAAGUUUGUUCUAAAUUUCAUGCAAAUUAAACAACCAAU